rnacentral:rRNA from 1 species
AUGGCGCAGCGGGAUCACAAGCAGGAGGAGCCCACGGAGCUGCGGGCGCCGGAGAUCACGCUCUGCGCCAACAGCUGCGGCUUCCCCGGCAACCCGGCCACGCAGAACCUCUGCCAGAACUGCUUCUUGGCCGGACCAGCGUCCACGUCGCCUUCUUCCUCCUCCUCUUCUCUGCCGGGCGUGUCCGCGCCGACCCCCGUCAUCGACAGGCCUAGGCCGGCGCCGUUGGAGGCGGAGCUGGCACGCCCGGCAGUUGACCGCGCUCCGGCGACGGAGGCGAAGCCGGCGAGGACGUCGGUGAACCGGUGCUCCAGCUGCCGGAAGCGGGUGGGGCUGACGGGGUUCCGGUGCCGGUGCGGCGACAUGUUCUGCGGUGAGCAUCGGUACUCGGACCGGCACGGGUGCAGCUACGACUACAAGGCCGCCGCCCGGGACGCCAUCGCCAGGGACAACCCCGUGGUGCGCGCCGCCAAGAUCGUCAGGUUCUGA